rnacentral:rRNA from 1 species
AUUAAAAGCUCCGGCNCNUAAGGAUGGNUUUGCGGUNUAUCAGGUUGUAGUNGGUGUAAUGUACCUACUAGCCUACGACGGAUACGGNUUGUGGGAGCAAGAGCCCGGAGAUGGAUUCUGAGACAUGAAUCCAGGCCCUACGGGGCGCAGCAGGCGCGAAAACUUUACAAUGCGGGGAACCGCGAUAAGGGGACACCGAGUGCCAGCAUCCUAUGUUGGCUGUCCAUAUGUCUAAAUCACAUGUGUUAGCAAGGGCCGGGCAAGACCGGUGCCAGCCGCCGCGGUAACACCGGCGGCCCGAGUGGUGGCCACUAUUAUUGGGUCUAAAGGGUCCGUAGCCGGUUUGGUCAGUCUUCCGGGAAAUCUGACGGCUCAACCGUUAGGCUUUCGGGGGAUACUACCAGGCUUGGGACCGGGAGAGGUAAGAGGUACUACGGGGGUAGGAGUGAAAUCUUGUAAUCCCUGUGGGACCACCAGUGGCGAAGGCGUCUUACCAGAACGGGUUCGACGGUGAGGGACGAAAGCUGGGGGCACGAACCGGAUUAGAUACCCGGGUAGUCCCAGCCGUAAACGAUGCUCGCUAGGUGUCUGGGAUGGUGCGACCGUUUCAGGUGCCGCAGGGAAGCCGUGAAGCGAGCCACCUGGGAAGUACGGCCGCAAGGCUGAAACUUAAAGGAAUUGGCGGGGGAGCACAACAANCGGGUGGAGCCUGCGGUUUAAUUGGACUCAACGCCGGG